rnacentral:lncRNA from 1 species
AACGAUGUAACAAAAUUGAAUUAAAAAAAUGAACAUCAAAGUCAGAGAAGGAGGAGCUAAGGGGAGGGGGAUACCUGGAUACCAGCACGAGAAGAGCGAGAGAUGGAUUUCUUCUUACCAGUGUCCUUGUUAGCUGCUAUCGUCUUUGCAGCAAUAAGCCCUUUCCCACCUUUACCAGCCAUAUCUACAACUACAAAACCCCAAACAAAAGACGCCAAUUUUGUAAAAAUUUCAGAAUACAAAAAGCUUUUAAGAUCCGUCGUCGAAUCUACAAGAGUAUUUACCGAUAAGAGAACCAAAUAAAUCGUCUGGUGAAGUGAAGUGAAGGGAAUCUCCAAUCAAAAGUUUUUGAGCGAAAAACGAAAAAACGAUACAGAAAACCAAAACCCUAAUUCAGAGGAAAACGAUGUACCUGAAAACGAGAGAGCGGGAUGCUUGAAAUUAGUGCGGGAGAGAGAGAGAGCUUUUUUUUAAAAACACAAAAUUGGGGUUUGUUGGUCGUUCUCGUGGAUUCGUUUACCCGUCUUAUAUUUCCUAUAUAUACUGUGAGAACCUAAUUUAUACGGAAG